rnacentral:rRNA from 1 species
GACGAACGCUGGCGGCGUGCCUAAUACAUGCAAGUCGAGCGAGUCUGCCUUGAAGAUCGGAGUGCUUGCACUCUGUGAAACAAGAUACAGGCUAGCGGCGGACGGGUGAGUAACACGUGGGUAACCUGCCCAAGAGAUCGGGAUAACACCUGGAAACAGAUGCUAAUACCGGAUAACAGCAGAUGAUGCCUAUCAACUGUUUAAAAGAUGGUUCUGCUAUCACUCUUGGAUGGACCUGCGGUGCAUUAGCUAGUUGGUAGGGUAACGGCCUACCAAGGCGAUGAUGCAUAGCCGAGUUGAGAGACUGAUCGGCCACAUUGGGACUGAGACACGGACCAAACUCCUAAGGGAGGCAGCAGUAGGGAAUCUUCCACAAUGGACGCAAGUCUGAUGGAGCAACGCCGCGUGAGUGAAGAAGGGUUUCUGCUCGUAAAGCUCUGUUGUUGGUGAAGAAGGACAGGGGUAGUAACUGACCUUUGUUUGACGGUAAUCAAUUAGAAAGUCACGGCUAACUAAGUG